UGUACAUUGUACCAAUGUGAAGGAGAAAA
rnacentral:piRNA from 1 species